UUAUUAUUGUUUUGUUACUUCACUGUUCUAUUGCGUCUAAAAAUUCAGAUUAAACCCAUUUUCAUUGAUUGCUCAUUUCAGUCAACAGUCUGUACAGUUUGCUUUGUUGUUCCCCAACAUAUUGCUGUAGUUUGCUAUUCCUAGCUACAUUCUAUGGUUGCUGGCUUGUUGCUGUCCUAAAUUACAAUUCAAUACUAUUAACUAUAUAUUUUUAUUUGGUUUGGAUUUUCCUCUGUCCAAUGUACU
rnacentral:lncRNA from 1 species